GAUGAACGCUGGCGGCGUGCCUAAUACAUGCGAGUCGAGCGAACAGACGAGGAGCUUGCUCCUCUGACGUUAGCGGCGGACGGGUGAGUAACACGUGGAUAACCUACCUAUAAGACUGGGAUAACUUCGGGAAACCGGAGCUAAUACCGGAUAAUAUAUUGAACCGCAUGGUUCAAUAGUGAAAGACGGUUUUGCUGUCACUUAUAGAUGGAUCCGCGCCGCAUUAGCUAGUUGGUAAGGUAACGGCUUACCAAGGCAACGAUGCGUAGCCGACCUGAGAGGGUGACCGGCCACACUGGAACUGAGACACGGUCCAGACUCCUACGGGAGGCAGCAGUAGGGAAUCUUCCGCAAUGGGCGAAAGCCUGACGGAGCAACGCCGCGUGAGUGAUGAAGGUCUUCGGAUCGUAAAACUCUGUUAUUAGGGAAGAACAAAUGUGUAAGUAACUAUGCACGUCUUGACGGUACCUAAUCAGAAAGCCACGGCUAACUACGUG
rnacentral:rRNA from 1 species